rnacentral:rRNA from 1 species
UACAGAGGGGGCAAGCGUUGUUCGGAAUUACUGGGCGUAAAGGGCGCGUAGGCGGCCUGUUAAGUCGAACGUGAAAUCCCCGGGCUCAACCCGGGAACUGCGUCCGAUACUGGCAGGCUUGAAUCCGGGAGAGGGAUGCGGAAUUCCAGGUGUAGCGGUGAAAUGCGUAGAUAUCUGGAGGAACACCGGUGGCGAAGGCGGCAUCCUGGACCGAUAUUGACGCUGAGGCGCGAAAGCCAGGGGAGCAAACGGG